rnacentral:lncRNA from 1 species
UCCAGCUUGAUUCAUUAUCUCAGUACAGCAGCCUUCAAUGGCAAGGACUUAGGUAAGGAUCCAGGUCCCCUGACCUCAGGUAGAGGUGCAGCAGAGUCUGCUGAAAGCUAGAGGAAAUCUUUAUUACUGGGUAAGGGUUUGUCUUUGCUUUUGCUUUUUAACCCCAGGCUCCAUGAGCCACCUCACAGGCUAUGAAACAGACCGACAGCGUCAUAAUACUGCUCUUCUGGCUGCUACUGACCUGCUGAAAAGGCUCUACUCUACCAGUACCACUCCGCUAGUGUUGCUCAGGACCUGGGGCCUGCAGGCCACUAAUGCAGUGUCUCCUCUCAAAGAACAGAUUAUGGCCUUUGCGAGUAGAUGAGGGCCCCUCUUCUGGGGACCAUGGUGAUGACAAAGAACACCUAGCCCUGGGACAUCACAGGCCUUCCCAGUAUGGACUAAUAAACUUACACUGG